rnacentral:lncRNA from 1 species
AUGUGGGUCGUUUCCUCGACUUCUGGAUCCUUUCUUGGUAUUGAAGUCCCCAUCUUCCUUCUGGCAGCAGCUUUGAGAGAGAAGCGUGGGCAUACAGUGGAGAGGAGGGUGCCUCCUGGCUGGCUUCUCUCCAGGAGUAUUGGUGGCUGCAAUCAUCCUGUGGACUUUUUUGUGUCUUGUUAGAGUCAACUGGAUAUUAAAUCUGAAGACUGUCAGAAGAUAUAUUUGGCCCAGGCUUCUUUGGAGGGUGUCACACAGGAACUACAGCUGUCUACAGGAAGCAUCAGCCAUUCUUCUUCAGCUGGAGUUUUUGCAGCUGUAUAGCUCUGGUGCAAGGAUAUGAGAAACCCACCAGACAGGGUAAGAACUGUCAUGGCUUAGAAACCUCAGACCUUACUACUGUACCAAUUAUUUCUUAUAAUGACUCAAUAGGAUUCCAGUCUCCAAAGGGCAAUCCAGUCCCAAGAGUUACCAUACUCAGGAAGACCCAUAGCUACCUGUCUGAUUGGGUAUUUAGAGCACAUUUCUAGUCUCUCCCAAUCCAGAUGCAGUUGACCAAACAAGGGUUAUCUUAAUCAUUAAGCAACGUUGCUUAGUGCUAUAGACUUAAUAUUUAUUUUCCCCUACCCCUAAUCCAUAUGUUAAAUCCGAACCCCCAAGGUGAUUAGAGUUAGGAGAUGAACCCUUUGGAAAGUGAUUAGGUCAUGAAGGCAGAGCCUCCAAACCCAAGGAAUUCAUGCUCUUAUAAAAAGAAGACUGAGAAAGUGUCUACCUCUUCCCUCAUAUGAGGUUACAAAAAAGAUGGUAGUUUAGGACUGAAUCCUUGCCCAAUACCAAGCCUUCCAGCGCCUGGAUCUUAGACUUUCCAGCCUUCAGGACUGUGAGAUAUAAGUUUCUAUGGUUUAUAAAUUCCGCAGUCCGUGGUAUCUUUCUUACAGCAGCUUGAAUAGACACACACUUACUAUUGUAGUUAACAUUCCAUCUGAGGAACAAUCAGGUGUUUAGGUGGUCAUUUUAAGACAGCAAGCCAGGAGUUCCUAUUGUAAUGGUAAUUGGUUCAUUCAAUGGUAAUGAACCAGACUAGUGUCCAUGAGGAUGCAGGUUUGAUCCUUUGCCCCUUUUAGUGGGUUAAGGAUCCAGUGUUGCUGUGAGCUGCUCUGUAGGUCAAAGAUGUGGCUUGGAU